UUUUCAGUUGUGUCGGGCAGGAUAGACCACAAGGAUGCCUCUGAUGACACUGAUCCGAGCCUUUAAAAUGUAAGCAGAAAUGCCAGUUAAGCCAUCUUAAGUCUCUAUCCUUAACCCAUCCCAUCAUCCUUAAAGAUUGCUGCAUGUGAUCCCAAUGUCAGUCCUUAAAAAGAAAACUCAAGAGCAGAGAUGAACCCCGGCAUACCUGUGUUUGAGGACCUAUAAAAGAAAUACAUCCUGGAAAGCUAGAAAAUGGAAACCCUGCUUAUAUCCCUAUAGCCAAGAAUUCUGCCCCAAAACACAUGUAUUACUCAUGCUGUUAACAUGCUUAUCAAACCAAAAGAGGUUGAAGAUAGAAGGUUUAAUUAUGAAACUUUUAACUUUUCAAAAAAUAUUCUUUUGGAAGAGAAAAAUUUCUAUAAAUAGCCUUUUCUGUUUUAAAGUUACACUGUACCUCUGGCAAUGUUUCCUGAAACAAUUUCAGCCCAGAGCCAGCUAAUGGCUUGGGAUCAUUUCUAUAGAUCUUGGUUUGCCUUUUUGUAUGUGUGUGGCCUUCAGGGAUGUUACAGUUUGCUGUUUAGUAAAUUGACUCACAGUUUGAAAGCAUUCUUUUGUCAUUAAACACACAUGAAAAGGGGGACUCUCUCCAGGCAGAAUGCACCAUCAGAUUGAAUGGACAAAAACUUGGAACCACCAUCAGUAUUAAGAAUCCUGGACUCAUCAUCUUCAAUCUGCUCAACUUAAAAAAAAAAAAAAAUCAGAGUCAGGUUUACUGUGGCUCAUCUUUCUGUUGCAUCAUUGAUUUAGAAAUGUUGCCAAGUACAUGUAAAUACGAAAUAAAAUGAACUUGG
rnacentral:lncRNA from 1 species